rnacentral:rRNA from 1 species
UACGAAGGGUGCAAGCGUUGCUCGGAAUUAUUGGGCGUAAAGGGUAGGUAGGUGGUAAUACAAGUCUGGGGUGAAAUCCCUGAGCUCAACUCAGGACGUGCCUUGGAAACUGUAUUACUAGAGUACUAGAGAGGUUCGUGGAAUUCUUGGUGUAGCGGUGAAAUGCGUAGAGAUCAAGAGGAACAUCAGCGGCGAAGGCGGCGAACUGGAUAGUAACUGACACUCAACUACGAAAGCGUGGGGAGCAAACAGG